GGGCCUGUAGCUCAGCCUGGUAGAGCAGCGGCCUUUUAAGCCGCCUGUCGCGGGUUCGAAUCCCGUCAGGCCCU
rnacentral:tRNA from 1 species